ensembl:rRNA 5S_rRNA 5S ribosomal RNA
AUCUAGGGCCGUAAUACCCUGAACGCGCCCGAUCUCAUCUGAUCCCGGAAGCUUAGCAGGGUCGGGCCCGUUUAGUACUUGGAUGGGAGACGGCCUGGAAAUACCAGGCACUGUAGGCU